GAUAGUUUUUUUUUUUUAACACAUAAUUCUGAGAACUACCAAUGUCAUUAGUUACCGACACCUUUUUAAGUUCUAGCUAUUUACUACCUCGUGGUCAUGGAAGAAAAGAAAUUAACAAAAUGUACCAAAAGUUAUGAAACAUGUUAUUUAUUAUAGAUGUGACGGUUUCAAUUAUAUGUUUUCCAUGUCUAAUUGAUAUUGAAGAUUGAAGUAGACGUUGUUUGUUAUUUUUGUGGUUACCAAUCAAAUAUUUUUCAGACAAACUAUGCGGUUACGUGGAGAUAGAAUACAAAACACAAAACAAGUUGCAAAAAAAAAGAAAAAAAAAG
rnacentral:lncRNA from 1 species